UGAAGCAGCAACUUUGCUUAGUAUCUUUCAGCAAAGAUCUUAAUAAUAUGUAUGGUAAAUUGUUGUUCUUUGACUUUCAUUUCAGUUAUCAGGAUUCUGAAGGACUAAGGUCUUCAUGUGUAGUGCUAACAGUUAAAAAGAAGGAAAAGCAACCAAAUUGCCCCUAGUCUGCUCAAGAGCCCGUCACUGCUUCCUAAGUGGUCACGCUACAAAAUCAAAGAAGUAACAAGGUAUGGUUGGUUACCCUUCCAAAAAUAACUGCAAGUAUUAAGUGCUGUCUUUAUGGAGAAGCCAGACCUCCUGCAGUAAGAGGGAAAAUUGAAUUGACUUGCAAGAGGCCAGAAUGCCACCCACAGAGGUGCUUGAUUGCCAGAAAAUGCUGAGUUCCUGCUGCUUGGAAUCACUGCUGUCCGAUAUCCGGCAUUGUACUGAAAGAGGAACUGCAGGGUCAUCAUUGUAGAACCUUUCAAGCAAAAGUGAUGUCACCAGAAAUCAUUUUAAUGGACCUUCAUCUUCACAUCCUACUGAUUUAUUUGCUGCAUGUGAAAGGAAAUCAUUUUCAUAUCUUUUAAACAUCUAGGCCGCCCAGGGAGGUGGUGGAGUCACCAUUCCUCGAAGUGUUAAGAACCAUGGAGAUGUAGCACUGAGGGACAUGGUCAGUGGGAGCGGUGGAGGUAAAUUUAAGGGCAUGCAUCUCUGGCUGGACUUUUCUGGAAGGACUUUUCUGCAGCCUUUUGCAUUCUCUAUGUUCAGAGGAUAGAAGCUGUAACCAUUCAGUUCUGCAAUCAGGCUUGGCUCCAGUUUCAGAGAGGAGACAGACAGCUGGUGGAGUUGCAGAUUUCACAAGCAGGAGGAAUCAAAAUGUGGGAGACCAGGAGGUCAGGACAGCAUGCUUGAUUGCCUACAUGAAGAGUAACAAGCUUCUCCUCUGGUCCCAUGUGAGCCACCUGGAAACCAUUGAGGAGCACAAGAGCCCCAGUAUCAUCUCAGUGGAUGUUUCAGAGAAACUGUUUGAAUGUCUGUGCUAGAAAGGUACAUGAAUUUAUCCUGCAAUGAAUACAGAAGCAUAGGAGAUGGAGGACAGGACCUUGACCUGAACAGAUCUGAAGAAUGAGAUACAGAAAACAGAAAAAAAAAAUCAACUUUUCAUGAAGAGUUGAAAGAAAGAAAAAAGAAGAAAGUGCACGUCCUUCAAAAAGGAAAUCCUCCAGCAAAUCUGCUAAUGAAGUCCCUGCUCAUUUUGCAUUCUGGAUUUGCCCAAAGAGGUGCUAAAUAUCAGCAGGUAAUGGAGGACGGGAACAAUACUGUUGAGCAACGACAAGCAAGUGAGAUUAAAGCUGAAAAUACUGAUUCUACAAGAACUGCUUGUUCAUGGGAAUGCUGCUGCUACAUGCCAGAAAAUCUAAAGAAGAAAAAUAAUGAAAAGGUGAAGUAAUUUCUUUGAAUUCACAGUAAAUCAGCAGACUCAUGGAUCGAAGUCAGACUAAUAGACCAAGGACAAACACAACUGCGGGGAUUGGCCUCUUCUCCCAGCGUAGGAGAGUUUCAAAGAGGAACCUGACAGAUAUUUGCUCCUGCUGGGCUGAGCUGUGAUGCUGGAGAUUUCAAGAAGAUACUCCACAGCAGUUGAGUGACUUUCUCAUUGCAAGGCAACGCUGGGAAAAGCAUCCUCUCCAGUGCUUCAGAAACCUUCUUCGUAUCACCUCAUGUCAGAAGCAAUUGUAUGGAGUGGAUGUAAAAAGGCCUGGGACAAUUGCACAGUUCAUACUGUAAAGAUGAAAGCAGCCUGCUCUUUCUGGUACAUAUCCGCUUUGAUCUACAUAGUGUGGAAAACUGAGACCUUGCCCAGCAUAAUGCUGCAGGCUUCUGCCGUGUUGCAAGUCCUUGGAACAGAGAGAGGAAAAGGUAUGUUUAUUCACAGUAAUAUCCUUUGUUUUCACUGUCCCCACACUCUGAAAUGGGCCAUAACCACCUCUUUUCCCAUGGUUGUGUAUCAUACACAUUGGCAUAAACCUGGUGGCUAACGAGGUAGCCAAGAGCUCAGUGACAGUAUUGCAAAU
ensembl:lncRNA